AGUGAACGCUGGCGGUAGGCCUAACACAUGCAAGUCGAACGGCAGCACAGUAAGAGCUUGCUCUUACGGGUGGCGAGUGGCGGACGGGUGAGGAAUACAUCGGAAUCUACUUUUUCGUGGGGGAUAACGUAGGGAAACUUACGCUAAUACCGCAUACGACCUACGGGUGAAAGCAGGGGAUCUUCGGACCUUGCGCGAUUGAAUGAGCCGAUGUCGGAUUAGCUAGUUGGCGGGGUAAAGGCCCACCAAGGCGACGAUCCGUAGCUGGUCUGAGAGGAUGAUCAGGCACACUGGAAAUGAGACACGGUCCAGACUCCUAAGGGAGGCAGCAGGGGGGAAUAUUGGACAAUGGGCGCAAGCCUGAUCCAGCCAUACCGCGUGGGUGAAGAAGGCCCUCGGGGUGUAAAGCCCUUUUGUUUGGAAAGAAAAGCAGCAGGUUAAUACCCCGCUGUUCUGACGGUACCCAAAGAAUAAGCACCGGCUAACUUCGUG
rnacentral:rRNA from 1 species